rfam:Tumebacillus sp. AR23208, complete genome.
UUCAAAGGUAGCCCAGCUAAAAGCGCGACGUCCUGUCGCAACGCUGGACACGGUACAUCCUGUACG